AUCUGUAAAAUGACAUUGGUGUAUGUAUUUUUCCAAAUAUAUGUGUCCUCAUCUAGAAAUUCUCCACCCAGCCUCACCAGCUAGGUUGAACCAUGUUAAAUUGCUGAUACUUGACAAUUUCUGACCAAUGUCCUUUGGUCCCGCUAUGGGAACCAACUAUCCUUACCAUCACCAUGGUCCAGAUGGUACAAAGGCUGCUCACAAAGAGGCUGGAAGGAGAGAGAGUUAAUUCAUCUUUAAGGUGGGGAGAGGAACAGAAUUGAGAAAAUAAAGGAAAGGACAAGGGUUUAAGAAGAAAAUGCAAAGGAAGGGAGGGCAGGGUAUCUCACCAGGGGUUGGUGAGACCACCUUGAGGGCCUCAGCUCAGAUCUGAGCUGGAGGACUGGAGAGGGACUAUGCCAGAAUGACAGGGGGCAACAUGAACAGGAGGAAUGGCUGGGUGUAGGGAUCUAUCCACAAACAUGUGGCUCCUAGUUCUGACCACUGGGGAGUCUGACAACAAUGACACACGGCAGCAAUGAGCCCACCCAGCACUCAGAUCUUGGUUUCUAAAUAUCAUUCUUCAGGAGUUCCCAUUCGUGGUUAACAAACUGACUAGCAUCCAUGAGGACUCAGGUCUAUCCCUGGCCUUGCUCAGUGGUUGCUAGUCAGAUUUGCUUCUGCUGAGCCACAACAGGAACUCUGGGGAAUGUUAAUUAACACAAAUAUUAUUGUACUUUGCCACUGGAGAAAGAUGGAAAGCUGCCCUUGCACUUUUACCUGCUAUGAAAUAGCCAAAGUGUGACAGUGAGAACGCCAACAAGAACUAUAAAGUUCUCCAGUUUGUUCCCCACACUCCCCUCUGCGUCUGUCCACACCCCCCCAACCAGACCCACCUGCACUGUAGCAGUCUGCAGACACUAGGAGAAUGGAAGCUUCGGGCAAAAUCCUCAGACAUGUUUUCAAAAGAUAACAGAUGGAGCGAAAGUGUACAUUAAUCAGACCCCGAAGAAGCCAAGAUCCUCCUAAGUCCUGUCUGCUGGCUGAAGGGACACAAUUUUCCGUACCAGGGACCAGGCUGCUGGGAGAGGAAAGCAGGGCCCCUGUGGAGUCUUGUUAUGGAGGCAGAUUAAGAGCAAACCUGGCCAGGGGCAAGGAGGCACAUAAAGAAGCCAGCUCAAUGGCCUCAGGGGCCCCUUCUCUGCUUGUAAGGUAGAGGGCUGACUGCAGAACCUGUUCUUUGGAAAUAAACUCAUUACAUGGGAAAGACAGUCCUCUUGGACUUUCAAGGCAUGGCAUCAAUAGCUUGGGUGUGUUGCCUUCAACACAUGUAGUCUCUGGGAGGGGUGGAGCCUGUCACUUACCAUGACCAGACCACUCUUGUCUCAAGUUACUGUGGGGUCAUGGUCCUAGACAAAGCCAGAAUAGGUGAGCAGCAGAGGGAGGACGCCCAUGCUAAGAAAGAAGAGCCCUCAAGGCUUACAAAGGGCACUUGCCCAGAGCACCCAUCUUCCAGCAAGGAGGCAAGCUCUGAAUAGAUCCCCAAAGGAAACCCCUCCUGAGGCCUUGCUUCGUGCCACAUAGUAGAAAGGACAUAGGUCCCUAAGGUCCCUACUUCAUUCUCUUGACAACAGGGUCUGGUGAGACGUGGGCAGGUGCAGCACUGACCUGACAUAACCAUCAGUGUGGCACGGAAUGGACACCAGCUCCCCCAACCCCCGCCCAGAGGGCAGCACCAGCGGGGGUGCUGGGCAAGGCAGCCUGACUGUCCCCCAACUUCACCUACAGGAAGAUGAGGUGUGUGAGGCUAUCUCUAGCCCUGUCCAUGCCUCUAUCCAUGUCUACCUCCAUUCAUGAAUCUAAGUCCAAAGACUUAAGAGAACAUUAAGAAAACAAGGGAGUGAGGCUUUGCCUCAGCUCAAGUGAGAGUAGGGUAUGUACAAGAGAUAAAAAAAAAAAAAAAAAAAAAA
rnacentral:lncRNA from 9 species